rnacentral:misc_RNA from 1 species
UCCGAGUUGACCCCGGCAGUCUCCCAUGAGUCCCCGGCCCAGCAACAAAGUCACUGGCCGCUGGCAACAUGGGACAAGGGUUGCGCUCGUUGCGGGACUUAACCCAACAUCUCACGACACGAGCUGACGACAACCAUGCACCACCUGUACGCCGCCCUUACGGACCCCACAUCUCUGCGAGUUUUCGGCGUAUGUCAAGCCUUGGUAAGGUUCUUCGCGUUGCGUCGAAUUAAGCCACAUGCUCCGCCGCUUGUGCGGGCCCCCGUCAAUUCCUUUGAGUUUUAGCCUUGCGGCCGUACUCCCCAGGCGGGGCGCUUAAUGCGUUAGCUGCGGCACGGAGCCCGUGGAAUGGACCCCACACCUAGCGCCCAACGUUUACGGCGUGGACUAC